rnacentral:rRNA from 1 species
GAUGAACGCUGGCGGCGUGCCUAAUACAUGCAAGUCGAGCGAACGGACGAGAAGCUUGCUUCUCUGAUGUUAGCGGCGGACGGGUGAGUAACACGUGGAUAACCUACCUAUAAGACUGGGAUAAAUUCGGGAAACCGGAGCUAAUACCGGAUAAUAUUUUGAACCGCAUGGUUCAAAAGUGAAAGACGGUCUUGCUGUCACUUAUAGAUGGAUCCGCGCUGCAUUAGCUAGUUGGUAAGGUAACGGCUUACCAAGGCAACGAUGCAUAGCCGACCUGAGAGGGUGAUCGGCCACACUGGAACUGAGACACGGUCCAGACUCCUACGGGAGGCAGCAGUAGGGAAUCUUCCGCAAUGGGCGAAAGCCUGACGGAGCAACGCCGCGUGAGUGAUGAAGGUCUUCGGAUCGUAAAACUCUGUUAUUAGGGAAGAACAUAUGUGUAAGUAACUGUGCACAUCUUGACGGUACCUAAUCAGAAAGCCACGGCUAACUACGUGC